AUAGAAACCAUACCCAAGCAAAGAGACCGAAUAUUUGAGGAAAACGCCGUUAUGGUGAACCGAACAUACAUCCAUUGGCUGUGAAUCGCCUGUGAAAACAGACCCAAGUCUUGGUUGCAAUCGGCAAAGAAAGGCAGAAAUUUGAAAAGGCAUGUCCUCCAGAGCAAUGGAGGUACAGGAAACUUGUUUCAGUACGGCAACGAAAGGAAAAAGGUGGACGCCUCAAAAACCGCAAAAUCCACCUUUGAACAAUUUCUUUUUAAACUGAGACGUCCAGAAAAUUCAGUUAUAACAGAGCAAAUUCCAAAGAGGACUUUAAUGCAAGUACAUUUUACCCACUUCAGGUUUACUGACCUCUUCAACUGCAUCUCAUAUACAGGGCCUUCCAGCCCCUCGUACAAAUUUAUUCAGCAGAUAUGAUGAAAUGAAUGGGAGAGAGGCAGAACAUAUUAUUCCUCUCCCGGGAGUCCCUGAGAAUGGGAUUUCAUUUCUUUCUCAAAUAAAGGUGAUAUGCCAUGCAGGCAUGAAUAACUUUAUGGCCAUCGAUAUUCACAUUUUGACAAAUAGGAGGACGACUUAUGGCCAUGUGGGGGAGGGGGGUUCGAUGGCUUUAUUUCAGCAAAAAGGAGAGAGAGAAAAAAAGAGAGUUUCAUUCCAACAACAUAUGAAAUAUGUUCAAGCUCUAAACUAUGCAGAUGGCCUUUAGCUCUGAACAAAUGCCUUAGUGCAUCUUUGUUGCAUGGCUUGGGAGUGCCAAAUGUUUGCUGUUAUUAUGCAAAAAAAGAGAUGAUACAUGACUGAUACAUCAGUGUAGCUGGAGGGAAAUAUUUCCAAUUACAUACAGUGGGCUUUCACCAUAGGUGCAAAAGCAGAGACCACAAUGUAAUAUCAACCAUCCAAACAACCCACCAAAAACCUCACCUGAUGGUAGGCAGUAAAAUGUAUAAUUCAUAUUUUACUGAGCUCAGACUCCAAAAUGGCUGUGCACAAAUAAAACAUAGUGAAAAUAA